rnacentral:rRNA from 2 species
GGGUUGUGAGGUUAAGCGACCAAGCGUACACGGUGGAUGCCCUGGCAGUCAGAGGCGAUGAAGGACGUGCUAAUCUGCGAAAAGCGCCGGUAAGGUGAUAUGAACCGUUAUAACCGGCGAUGUCCGAAUGGGGAAACCCAGUGUGACUCGUCACACUAUCAUUAACUGAAUCCAUAGGUUAAUGAGGCGAACCGGGGGAACUGAAACAUCUAAGUACCCCGAGGAAAAGAAAUCAACCGAGAUUCCCCCAGUAGCGGCGAGCGAACGGGGAGGAGCCCAGAGCCUGAAUCAGCAUGUGUGUUAGUGGAAGCGUCUGGAAAGGCGCGCGAUACAGGGUGACAGCCCCGUACACAAAAGCGCAUGUGCUGUGAGCUCGAUGAGUAGGGCGGGACACGUGGUAUCCUGUCUGAAUAUGGGGGGACCAUCCUCCAAGGCUAAAUACUCCUGACUGACCGAUAGUGAACCAGUACCGUGAGGGAAAGGCGAAAAGAACCCCGGCGAGGGGAGUGAAACAGAACCUGAAACCGUG